AUUGAACGCUGGCGGUAUGCUUAACACAUGCAAGCCGAACGGUAGCAGGCCUUCGGGCGCUGACGAGUGGCGGACGGGUGAGUAACGCGUAGGAAUCUGCCUCAUAGUGGGGGACAACGUGGGGAAACUCACGCUAAUACCGCAUACGCCCUACGGGGGAAAGCGGGGGCUCUUCGGACCUCGCGCUAUGAGAUGAGCCUGCGUUAGAUUAGCUAGUUGGUAGGGUAAAAGCCUACCAAGGCGACGAUCUAUAGCUGGUCUGAGAGGACGAUCAGCCACAAUGGGACUGAGACACGGCGCAGACUCCUACGGGAGGCAGCAGUGGGGAAUAUUGGACAAUGGGCGCAAGCCUGAUCCAGCAAUACCGCGUGUGUGAAGAAGGCCCUAGGGUUGUAAAGCACUUUCAAUUGGGAGGAAAACCUGUCGGUCAAUACCCGGCAGCUUGACAUUACCUUUAGAAGAAGCACCGGCUAACUCCGUGCCAGCCGCCGCCGUAAAAC
rnacentral:rRNA from 1 species